GAUGAACGCUGGCGGCGUGCCUAAUACAUGCAAGUCGAGCGAACAGACGAGGAGCUUGCUUUUCUGAUGUUAGCGGCGGACGGGUGAGUAACACGUGGAUAACCUACCUAUAAGACUGGGAUAACUUCGGGAAACCGGAGCUAAUACCGGAUAAUAUUUUGAACCGCAUGGUUCAAUAGUGAAAGACGGUCUUGCUGUCACUUAUAGAUGGAUCCGCGCUGCAUUAGCUAGUUGGUAAGGUAACGGCUUACCAAGGCAACGAUGCAUAGCCGACCUGAGAGGGUGAUCGGCCACACUGGAACUGAGACACGGUCCAGACUCCUACGGGAGGCAGCAGUAGGGAAUCUUCCGCAAUGGGCGAAAGCCUGACGGAGCAACGCCGCGUGAGUGAUGAAGGUCUUCGGAUCGUAAAACUCUGUUAUUAGGGAAGAACAUAUGUGUAAGUAACUGUGCACGUCUUGACGGUACCUAAUCAGAAAGCCACGGCUAACUACGUG
rnacentral:rRNA from 1 species